CCCGUUUUAUAUCGCGAAUGCGGAGGGGUGCGAUGACGCGACCCGUUCCUCUGAUCCUGCCCCGGCUCCCUAGCCCCCGCAGGAGCAUGGAGAACCGGGUAACGAGUUGCAUAACGCCCCCGCGGACCGAUCCAGAUAUCCCCCCAGGUAGCUGAGGCGAAUACAUUGUCAAGACUCGCCCUUGCUGGUCCAGGCUUCCUAUCGCUGGUUGGCGUGACCCUCGUCGGGGGUGGAAUAUGCGGAAACUUCCUUUAGGUUGAACCAUACCAUAUCGGAAUCCACUGGCUAAGGUCUCCUGAGUCCCGAGUGAUGUCGGGAAGCCUCUUCCGGGGUCCUUUAGACCCCCUACUGUAUCGGUCUGAUGGUAGCCCUGCCAAGAUGCCGAUGUUCAUGACGCAUACGGAUUAGUAGGGUUCGAUCCUGGACAGUGGUUCUGACAUACAACCCACCCUUCUACGGUGGGCAGGAUCAACCAGGAAA
rnacentral:rRNA from 1 species